CGAUGAUCUGGCAACAGCAAAGCAGGGGACUCGAAGGGCCUUGUGCGAUUGGAGCGGCCGAUGUCCGAUUAGCUAGUUGGUGGGGUAAAGGCCCACCAAGGCGACGAUCGGUAGCUGGUCUGAGAGGAUGAUCAGCCACACUGGGACUGAGACACGGCCCAGACUCCUACGGGAGGCAGCAGUGGGGAAUUUUGGACAAUGGGGGCAACCCUGAUCCAGCCAUGCCGCGUGAGUGAAGAAGGCCUUCGGGUUGUAAAGCUCUUUCGGUGGGAACGAAACGGUUACGGCUAACACCUGUGACUAAUGACGGUACUCA
rnacentral:rRNA from 1 species